rnacentral:rRNA from 1 species
GUCCACGCCGUAAACGAUGAUCACUCGCUGUGUGCGAUAAACAGUACGCGGCCAAGCGAAAGCGAUAAGUGAUCCACCUGGGGAGUACGCCCGCAAGGGUGAAACUCAAAGGAAUUGACGGGGACCCGCACAAGUGGUGGAGCAUGUGGUUUAAUUCGAUGCAACGCGAUGAACCUUACCAAGACUUGAAAUCCUCCGCAAAGCUAUAGAGAUAUAGUAGAGGUUAUCGGAGUGACAGGUGGUGCAUGGUUGUCGUCAGCUCGUGUCGUGAGAUGUUGGGUUAAGUCCCGCAACGAGCGCAACCCUUAUCUUUAGUUGCUAACAUUUAGUUGAGGACUCUAAAGAGACUGCCUACGCAAGUAGGAGGAAGGUGGGGAUGACGUCAAAUCAUCAUGCCCCUUAUGUCUUGGGCUACACACGUGCUACAAUGGCCGGUACAAAGGGCUGCAAACUGGUGACAGUAAGC